rnacentral:rRNA from 1 species
UACGUAGGGCGCAAGCGUUGUCCGGAAUUAUUGGGCGUAAAGAGCUCGUAGGCGGCUUGUCACGUCGGGUGUGAAAGCCCGGGGCUUAACCCCGGGUCUGCAUUCGAUACGGGCUGGCUAGAGUGUGGUAGGGGAGAUCGGAAUUCCUGGUGUAGCGGUGAAAUGCGCAGAUAUCAGGAGGAACACCGGUGGCGAAGGCGGUUCUCUGGGCCUGUACUGACGCUGAGGAACGAAAGCGUGGGGAGCGAACAGG